UACGGGGGGGGGCAAGCGUUGUUCGGAAUUACUGGGCGUAAAGGGUUUGUAGGUGGCCGGCUAAGUCAGACGUGAAAUCCCUCAGCUUAACUGGGGGAACUGCGUCUGAAACUGAUCGGCUCGAGUGCAGGAGAGGAACGCGGAAUUCCAGGUGUAGCGGUGAAAUGCGUAGAUAUCUGGAGGAACACCGGUGGCGAAGGCGGGUCUCUGGGCCGAUAUUGACGCUGAGGAGCGAAAAGCGUGGGGAGCAAACAGG
rnacentral:rRNA from 1 species